rnacentral:rRNA from 1 species
CCUACGGGAGGCUGCAGUGGGGAAUAUUGCGCAAUGGGCGAAAGCCUGACGCAGCGACGCCGCGUGAGGGAUGAAGGUCUUCGGAUCGUAAACCUCUGUCAGCAGGGCAGAACGGUCACUGUGCUAAUCAGCAGUGACUUGACGGUACCUGCAAAGGAAGCACCGGCUAACUCCGUGCCAGCAGCCGCGGUAAUACGGAGGGUGCGAGCGUUAAUCGGAAUUACUGGGCGUAAGGCGCUCGUAGGCGGUAUGUCAAGUCAAGGGUGAAAUCCCCGCGCUCAACGUGGGAACUGCCUUUGAAACUGGCAAACUGGAGUGUGUGAGAGGAUAGUGGAAUUCCAGGGGUAGGAGUGAAAUCCGUAGAUAUCUGGAGGAACAUCAGUGGCGAAGGCGACUAUCUGGCACAUAACUGACGCUGAGGAGCGAAAGCGUGGGUAGCAAACAGGAUUAGAUACCCGAGUAGUC